GAUGAACGCUGUCGGCGUGCCUAAUACAUGCAAGUCGAGCGAACGGACGAGAAGCUUGCUUCUCUGAUGUUAGCGGCGGACGGGUGAGUAACACGUGGAUAACCUACCUAUAAGACUGGGAUAACUUCGGGAAACCGGAGCUAAUACCGGAUAAUAUUUUGAACCGCAUGGUUCAAAAGUGAAAGACGGUCUUGCUGUCACUUAUAGAUGGAUCCGCGCUGCAUUAGCUAGUUGGUAAGGUAACGGCUUACCAAGGCAACGAUGCAUAGCCGACCUGAGAGGAUGAUCGGCCACACGGGAACUGAGACACGGUCCAGACUCCUACGGGAGGCAGCAGUAGGGAAUCUUCCGCAAUGGGCGAAAGCCUGACGGAGCAACACCGCGUGAGUGAUGAAGGUCUUCGGAUCGUAAAACUCUGUUAUUAGGGAAGAACAUAUGUGUAAGUAACUGUGCACAUCUUGACGGUACCUAAUCAGAAAGCCACGGCUAACUACGUG
rnacentral:rRNA from 1 species